ensembl:lncRNA
CGAUAGGAAGCCAGUUGGAGGGAGGAAGAUAUUGACAGAGGGAUGGAAAGAGUACCAGAGGGAUGGGGAACUGGGCAGGGCAAUGAGUAGCUAAACAAAGGGACGGGGUAUCGGACAGAGCUACGGGGAAAGAAAGAAAAAGAUGGAGCGCUGGACAGAGGGACAGCGAGUGGAACCAGAUGGAUCCAGACAGCCCGGAACAGCCCUCAACACGCUCCAGUUCCACUCACCUGCUGAGCUGCAGAGCUCUCUGUGUACCGCUGGGCCCAAAGUCCACUUGGGCACUGCUGUGUGGAGGACCCGCAGCCACACCGAAAGGCACGUGGAGGCCACUUGUGGGCCUGCUUGCCUGUAUCCCUAUACCUCCAGAGUGUCUGUGUCUGCAAGAGCGAGGGUGCACCCACGGGCCCACUAUUCCCCUCUCUCCUUGGCUGGUCCAUGAAUUGUGGCUUAUUACUCACAAGUCCAGUGAGGAUGCAGCCAACCUUCCUACAGCUGAAGUUCUUCCGCAGGACCAGGCACAGAACCUUUCCACUGGCAUCUGGAUUCUCCUAGCUGCUCUUGACAUGCAAUAACUUACAAAGGUCUGAGGGUGGUACCCCGUAGUUCUUUACGGCAGCAUAUAGUCGUUCCCCAAUGUUCUGAAUGCCUAGGAUUAACACAAUUUAUAAACACAAAAAUACUGCCACUAUAGGGUGUAAAGUCAAGCUAAAAUUUCUGCAACCAAAGAAAACCUCUCCGUGUCUGACAGAAGGAGCCAUAUGCAUAAGCACCUAUAGCUCAAGGCUAGCAACCCUCUUCUGGCAGGCUGCAUGUCUGAACUCCUCCGUCUUGCCUAAAAGGCAUGGUAAAAUCCAUUGCCCUCCAAAAGUAUAAAGCAAAGUGAAAAAAAAUCAAAGCUCUGCAGAAAAUCAUAAGAAACCAAACUUGUUUAUAAGCACAAAAGCAGGUCUAAUACACACACAAGCAAGGUAAAUGAUAAGAUGUAAGCCACAAAUACUGCUUCCCCCCAACCCCCCUUUUGGAAGCUAUGACAACAUUUGGGUUGCUGUGAAAGGGAAGUUGGACUAAGUAACCACUAGCGCUUAAUCUUUCAGAAGCCUUCUGUGUCCACAUUUUUGGCACAACCACACUCUGCCCCUCAUUCAAUUCAGAUGCACAGAAGAUGAUCCGCUUCUUGGAACACUUGCACAGUAACUCCCCCUUGUUAAGAUCAGUGCCCACUGUGCCACUUGGAUAGAGGAUACUCCGCUGCCUAUUCAUUUCCCUGACAUGAGCUAGUUUAGAGGGAACUGAGCAGAUUGGAUUGCAUCUUAAAAGUCCCAAAGACACCUACAGCCCAGAUUGCUGCUAAACAGACUUUCUCACAGCCAGAGAGUUUCUGUUCUGGCCCCAAAGGGGAUGUAAGGAUGAUGCUACUGGCACCCACUUUCCCUUACCACUGUUUUCUAAUGGUGCUGCUCCCAUGGAAGCAGCAGAUGUGGAAAGCAGUACUGAAAAAGGCUUUCCUUUUACAGCUACUUCUUUCAGUUGAGUGAAAGUAGCAUCAUGUUCCUUGUUUCAGCUCCAUUCCCA